rnacentral:rRNA from 1 species
UACAGGGGGGGCAAGCGUUGUUCGGAAUUACUGGGCGUAAAGGGUCUGUAGGUGGCUUGCUAAGUCAGACGUGAAAUCCCUCAGCUUAACCGAGGAAGUGCGUCUGAAACUGCAGAGCUUGAGUACCGGAGAGGAUGGCGGAAUUCUGCAAGUAGAGGUGAAAUUCGUAGAUAUGCAGAGGAACACCGGUGGCGAAGGCGGCCAUCUGGACGGUAACUGACGCUGAGACGCGAAAGCGUGGGGAGCAAACAGG